UCUGGGAGUGGCGAGGCCACCCAGGAAGGAGCCACCGUCUACGCCGUGGUCACUCCCAGGACACUGGAGCAUCCCAGGCACCGGGAGGAACCCGAGAAUUUCACCGUUUACUCAACGGUCCAGUUUGGCCGAAGGCCUUCUUCCAUCAAGAGGAAGAGGCUGGACCGAGCUUUGGUCGCCACUGCCUACUUGGAGGAUAACGGGAGUUACAGGCGCUUGGGCUUCCCAAAUCCUGCCGACCACCAGAGCCCCUAAAACCCCGGAAUUCCCAUCCCUGUGGAAUUCUCCUGGAAACUCCAGUGGACACUGGGAUCAAUAGAAUAGAAAUAUGCAGAAAUUUGGGGGUUUUCCCCAAGGUUCAACCCCCAGUUGUGCCUUGGAGCGAAGAUUUGGGGAUGGUAAAAUCCGGAAGGGAUGGA